ensembl:lncRNA
UACAGUACUGGUUCACGUCAUGUUAUCACACAGGUCCCUUCCCCAGGGCUCCCACAGGAAGGGUCUGUGUCGAGGGCGCUGCAUGCCAUGUAUCACAACCGCCUUAUGGUGAAGGGGAAAAAAAUUGCAAUACAUUCCAUCUGUGAGCGGCUGAUUAGCCAUCAUUGCCAUACAGCUGUGGGGGAACUAAUGAUUGGUUUGGCCGUUGUAGCAGGGGGGUCCAAAUUGAUUGACGGACGUAGCUCCAGUAUACUCCUGAACACUCCUGGACAGACCAGUCUUCUGUGGCUGCAGGGCCGAGUCCGCCGACGGCGUCAUGCGCGUGUAGGGUCGGACAGCCGAGGUAAACAAAAUGUUUGUUUAUGCUUGUUGUUAUCGUUCUGUUGCUUGAUUGUGGUUAAACAUUUCUUUGUUUCAUUACAGUUUUGCCUCUGUUGCCUUGUCUUUUUGCUUGUUUAUUUUGUUGUUUCUUUCUUUUAGUUUGUAAUUGUUUUGCCUAGUUUUGUAUCAGUUUGCUUGGUUAGAGUUUAGUUUCGUUUCUCCCCGUGUGUGUGUUUAUCUUUAGGUUGUUGUGGCUGGUUCUCUGGCUCAGUAAUCAGGUUUCUCCCCUCCAUAGCGGCGUAGGGCCUGUGUGACUGUCAGUUUUAAUAACUGC